rnacentral:rRNA from 1 species
UACAGAGGUCCCGAGCGUUGUUCGGAUUCAUUGGGCGUAAAGGGUGCGUAGGCGGUGGAGCAAGUCUGAUGUGAAAUCCUAGGGCUCAACCCUAGAACUGCAUUGGAUACUGCUUUGCUAGAGUACUGGAGAGGGAACUGGAAUUUACGGUGUAGCAGUGAAAUGCGUAGAUAUCGGAAGGAACACCGGUGGCGAAAGCGGCGCGCUGGAUCCCUUCUGACGCUGAGGCGCGAAAGCCAGGGGAGCGAACGGG